CAAUAUGGAAAGUCAACUACCUUCUUUCUGGAAAUAUAUAAUCGGGAAGUAUACUGCAUGGGCAGUUUAGCCACAGAUUGAAGGGCAAAACAUAAUCUAUUUAAACGUGGACUUAUUUAGGAGUUAGUCCCAAGAGCAUAGUUGGAUCUCACACUGAUAUAUGCACUGGCAACAUAUCUCCGGGAAAAUUAAGAUUCAUUCAGAUUGUUUGGGGACAAAAUAAAUGAAAAUCUUAUUGAGAAAUCAUAUUUUACAAUUAUUAUAACCAUGGACAAGCUUGGUGCACCAGGCAGCUGUGACCUUUAAAGCUUCAUAGAAAAUGGAACUGUUCUUAUUUGUAGAAUAGCAGUACAUUCCACAGCUCUGUAUCGAUUACUGUAUUAUUGUGCCACAAUAAGCUAUGUUACAACUAGAACAGUACAAGGAGUUACCAUAAGGUGGAGUUUACAUUCUAAAUAAAUAUGUUGCUUUGAAUGGUCUACCAAAAUGCAAAAUAUAAGAUAAAACAGCGGGCUUUGAACAUUAUCUUCAGCUCACCGCAACACACUAUUUAGAGAAUGAAUCCUAUAGAUUUAGGAUAGUUAGUGGAAAACUUAUUUCAUGUCCAUUCUGCACUUAAAUGUCUUUUCAAAGGCACUAUGACC